GGAUAGAUAGCUCUGUUGGAAGAGCAUGGGACUCUUAAUAUCAAGGUCAUGGGUUCAAGCCCCACGUUGGGCA